rnacentral:rRNA from 1 species
AGAGUUUGAUCAUGGCUCAGGACGAACGCUGGCGGCGCGCCUAACACAUGCAAGUCGAACGAGAGAGAAGGAGCUUGCUUCUUCGAUUGAGUGGCGAACGGGUGAGUAACGCGUGAGGAACCUGCCUCAAAGAGGGGGACAACAGUUGGAAACGACUGCUAAUACCGCAUAAGCCCACGGGUCGGCAUCGACCUGAGGGAAAAGGAGUGAUCCGCUUUGAGAUGGCCUCGCGUCCGAUUAGCUAGUUGGUGAGGUAAUGGCCCACCAAGGCGACGAUCGGUAGCCGGACUGAGAGGUUGAACGGCCACAUUGGGACUGAGACACGGCCCAGACUCCUACGGGAGGCAGCA